AAAAAAGAAAAAAAGAAGAAGAUAAUAGAAAGGAAGAAACAAAGCAAACGAAACAGAGAGCAGGGGAAGAAAAGAAAGAAAAAGAGAAAAGAAAGAAGAAAAAGGUGUGAAGCUUGGAAGUUUAAUAGGGGAAGGAUAAAAUCAACGUCGAAUAGCUCAGAAUUCACGGUUUGUAUUCCUAUAAUCCGAACCUAACUGUUAAUUGUUGUAAUUUGAUUUAAUGCAUAUGGUAAGUGUUUGAGGUGAGUAUUUGACAUUUUGAUAGUUGAUUGAAAUGGAUUGAAUUGGUAUA